AGUAUCAUAUGAUGAAACCUUGAAACAAUCUUAGGACACCUGCCUAUUUUCCUGUGGAUGAGAAGGCAUUUAUAUUCUGAUGAUACG
rfam:Triticum urartu cultivar G1812 contig205889, whole genome shotgun sequence.